AUGAUACUUCAUCCGUCUGGAAUUACUUGUCACUAAAAUAGAAAAAAAUUGAUGUAUCUAAAACUAAAAUACAUCUAGACACAUUCAUUUUUAUGACAAGUAAUUUUGACGGAGGAAGCACAAC
rfam:Hordeum vulgare subsp. vulgare, WGS project CAJW01000000 data, contig: morex_contig_6637